CUAAGGAGCCUCAGGGGUUAUUGUGGGAGACUGUUCCGAAGCGUCCGGGUCUGCGCGCCCCGCUUUGAGCAGGCGCGGCCCGAGUGGGAGUGGCAGACGAGGCAGAAUGGUUGGGCGACAGCUGAGAGGUGCCCUACGCGGCUCCAGAGAGGGCCCAGGACCCGCGGCGUCAGAACCUGAGACGGCGGGCAGCUAUACCUUCAGAGAUUUCAGCAUUUUUCCAAGACCAGCAAAAUAUGAAGAAAUUCUGUGGACUGUAGCCGGUCAGACUCCUCUGUCCAUGAGAUUCUCCAGGCAAGAAUACUGAAGUGGGCUACCAUACCAUCCUCCAAGGGAAUCUUUCCAACCCAGGGAUUGAACCACGUCUCUUAUGUCUUCUGCAUUGGCAGGCUGAAAGAGGUGAGGAAAACUUCAGAAGAAAUGUUUGAAGUUAGCAGAGACUGGUUCAUGAGGUUUAAGGAAAGAAGCUGUCUCCAUACCAUCAAAGUGCAAGGUGAAGCAGCAGGUCCUGAUGUAGAAGCUGCAGUAAGUGAUCCAGGAGAUCUAGCUAAGGAAUCCUUAUCAUUUGAGGAUGUAACUAUGGGCCUCACUCAGGAGGAAUGGCAGAAGCUGGACCCUGCUCAGAGGACUCUGUACAAGGAUGUGAUGCUGGAGAACUAUAGUCACCUCAUCUCAGUGGGGUUUUGCAUGCCUAAACCAGAACUGAUCUUCAAGUUGGAAUGAGGAGAGCAGCCAUGGGUAUUAGAGACAGAGUUUCCAAGCCAGAUCUACCCAGCCAAAGAUGGAGAAGCUCU